GAUGAACGCUGGCGGCGUGCCUAAUACAUGCAAGUCGAGCGAAUGGAUUAAGAGCUUGCUCUUAUGAAGUUAGCGGCGGACGGGUGAGUAACACGUGGGUAACCUGCCCAUAAGACUGGGAUAACUCCGGGAAACCGGGGCUAAUACCGGAUAACAUUUUGAACCGCAUGGUUCGAAAUUGAAAGGCGGCUUCGGCUGUCACUUAUGGAUGGACCCGCGUCGCAUUAGCUAGUUGGUGAGGUAACGGCUCACCAAGGCAACGAUGCGUAGCCGACCUGGGAGGGUGAUCGGCCACACUGGGACUGAGACACGGCCCAGACUCCUACGGGAGGCAGCAGUAGGGAAUCUUCCGCAAUGGACGAAAGUCUGACGGAGCAACGCCGCGUGAGUGAUGAAGGCUUUCGGGUCGUAAAACUCUGUUGUUAGGGAAGAACAAGUGCUAGUUGAAUAAGCUGGCACCUUGACGGUACCUAACCAGAAAGCCACGGCCAACUACGUGCCAGCCGCCGCCGCGG
rnacentral:rRNA from 1 species